ACGAUGCAUGGUGUAUAUCUUUCCUUCUCGAUCUCGCCCUUGCAAAUUUUUUACACUUUGUCCUUCCAAGUUCCAACCGCCUUCACCAUCAUUAUCAUCGAUGGUCACCACCGAUCAUUUGCUGGGGAGGAUCUGGUCCGAGAGCAAUGGCCAUUGCAUCGUUCAUGGGUGUGCAAGUUGCCAUCGGUUUUGACUUUGGUUGGUCCGGUCUUUGCUCGGUGAAUUUUGUCCGGUUCUUGUUGACUCGCCCUUGGGAUGCCAUGAUUAAUUAGCAACUACUACUAUCAACAGCUUCCGUUUGUCUGGUAAGUAACAUGGAUAUCAUGAUGUAAAAAAAGGCAAAAAUAGAAAAGAAAAGAUGGUGUGGUGGGGACGAUUUCAGAAACGAAAUUGGAGGGCUCUUCAGUUUCCACCGUUUAUCGCCACCAAUCCGCGUUCUAAUGUCUGUCGUCGAAGCCCAAAGAGGGCACGUCGUACGUUCCGGCAAGAAAGGAAGCAAGCGGCCCUUCUGUAACGAGCUGGGCCGAAGUCGAGACGCAAACAGAUGGGCUUUCGCACCUCCUAUGGGCCGGCGCAACGAAAGCUUCCUUUUUGAUUUCGGUUUAUGGCUCAAUGUACGAUGGAUUUCCUUUUGAUUUCGGUUUAUGGACCAGCGUAUGUAUGUAUGUAUGGAUGUAUGUAUGUAUGUAU